AGUGAACGCUGGCGGUAGGCCUAACACAUGCAAGUCGAACGGCAGCACAGUAAGAGCUUGCUCUUACGGGUGGCGAGUGGCGGACGGGUGAGGAAUACAUCGGAAUCUACUUUUUCGUGGGGGAUAACGUAGGGAAACUUACGCUAAUACCGCAUACGACCUACGGGUGAAAGCAGGGGAUCUUCGGACCUUGCGCGAUUGAAUGAGCCGAUGUCGGAUUAGCUAGUUGGCGGGGUAAAGGCCCACCAAGGCGACGAUCCGUAGCUGGUCUGAGAGGAUGAUCAGCCACACUGGAAGUGGGACAGGGUCCAGACUACUACGGGAGGCAGCAGUGGGGAAUAUGGGGCAAUGGGCGGAAGCCUGACCCAGCCAUACCGCGUGGGUGAAGAAGGCCUUCGGGUUGUAAAGCCCUUUUGUUGGGAAAGAAAAGCAGCAGGUUAAUACCCCGCGGUUCUGACGGUACCCAAAGAAUAAGCACCGGCUAACUUCGUG
rnacentral:rRNA from 1 species